AAAAAUAUUUGUAAAGUUCUGCUUCUGAGUGCUUUGAACAUUAUUUAUGAUGAAUCUGACGCGGAACAAGAACAAGUAUAUAUUGUUUAAAAUGACAGUGUCAAAGCCAGUGGCCCAGGGGGUACAGUCCCAAGCCGUUGUCUUCAUCCUUCUUACAAACCUUAUCUCUGAUCUAUGGUUUUGCUGUAACCACUUGUCUCAUCUCCAAACCCCAUGAAGACAGUUUCUUUCUUUCUUUGUGGGUUACGUUUAUUAUCAGAUUCCUCUGUUAUUUGAUAAACAGAAAAAAAAAAAAAAAAAAAGCAUGGAGACGACGAAGCUUGCUUCAUACGAUCGUGUCAGUGAGCUUAAAGCUUUCGACGAGACCAAGACAGGUGUAAAAGGACUCGUAGAAGCCGGAGUCUCAGAGGUUCCACGAAUAUUCCAUCACUCAUCUCUCAAACUAUCAAAAUCUAAACCACUUUCCUCUGACUUCACGACGAUCCCAACGUUUGAUCUCGGAGGACGAGUCUUUAAAGACAAGACUAAGCGCAAGAACGUGAUUCAAGGGAUUAAAGAGGCAUCAGAAAAGUGGGGUUUCUUCCAGGUGGUUAACCAUGGAGUUCCUCUCGAUCUUCUCGAGAAGAUGAAAGAUGGAGUUCGUGGGUUUCAUGAGCAACCACCAGACGUGAGGAAACAAUACUACGGGCGAGAUUUUAGUAGAACGUUUCGGUAUUCAAGUAAUUUCAAUCUCUUCAGCUCUCCAGCUGCUAACUGGAUAGACACUUUCGCUUGUAACAUUGCUCCAGAUCCUCCAAAACCAGAGGACUUGCCAGAGAUUUGUAGGGAUGUUAUGUUGGAAUACACAAAGCAUGUGAUGAAUUUGGGAGAGUUUCUCUUUGAGAUGUUAUCAGAAGCUCUAGGGUUAGAACCUAACCAUCUGAAUGAGAUGGAUUGCUCAAAGGGUUUGCUCAUGCUUAACCAUUACUACCCACCCUGUCCACAGCCUGACUUAACUUUAGGCGCAACUCAGCAUUCAGACAACUCUUUCCUUACGGUUCUUCUUCCAGAUGAAAUUGAAGGGCUUCAAAUCAACCGUGAAGGGCACUGGUACGAUGUUCCUCAUGUUCCCGGUGCACUCAUUAUCAACAUCGGAGAUCUUCUACAACUUAUAACAAACGACAAGUUCAUUAGUUUGGAGCAUCGUGUAUUAGCAAAUAGAGCCACCAGAGCUCGAGUCUCGGUUGCGUGUUUCUUCACCACGGGUGUAAGACCGAAUCCUAGGUUGUACGGACCCAUUAGAGAGCUUGUGUCUGAAGAAAGCCCUCCCAGGUACAGAGAGAUCACUAUUAGAGACUACUCUGCUUACUUCAAUGCCAAAGGUCUAGAUGGAACCUCUGCUUUGCUCCAUUUUAAAAUAUAAACAUAACAUAGUGAGCCGGGCCUGGCAGAGCCUGACUUAACUUCAUGCGCAAAUAGUUCUGUUAUCUGAAAACAAAGUUCAAUGGAGACGAUGAAGAUAGCUUCAUUCGAUCGUGUCAGCGAGCUUAAAGCCUUCGACGAGACCAAGACAGGUGUAAAAGGACUCGUAGACGCCGGAGUCUCAGAGGUUCCACGCAUAUUCCACCACUCAUCUCUUAAACUAUCAAACCCUAAACCAGUUUCCUCUGACUUGCAACAUCUCACAACGAUCCCAACCUUUGAUCUCGGAGGACGAAUCUUCGAGGACGAGACUAAGCGCAAGAACGUGGUUCAAGGGA